AUUGAACGCUAGCGGGAUGCCUUACACAUGCAAGUCGAACGGAGUGGCGAACGGGUGAGUAAUGUAUCGGAACGUGCCCAGUAGCGGGGGAUAACUACGCGAAAGCGUAGCUAAUAUCGUAUACUAUUGGAGCGGCCGAUGUCGGAUUGGCUAGUUGGUGGGGUAACGGCUCACCAAGGCGACGAUCCGUAGCUGGUUUGGGAGGACGACCAGCCACAGGUGGGCUGGAACACGGCCCAUGGUCCUACGGGAGGCAUCAGUGGGGUAUUUUGGACAGUGGGGGGAACCCUGAUCCAGCCGUCCCGCGUGUGAGAUGGAGGCCUUCGGGUUGUAAAGCACUUUUGGCAGGAGAGCGGUACCUGCAGAAUAAGCACCGGCUAACUACGUGCCAGCAGCCGCGGUAAUUC
rnacentral:rRNA from 1 species